AUUGUCCUGCUUAAUGACCAUGUUACGUCAAGCAACAAAAGUGGGGCUUCCAUUUAUGAAUCUUGUCCGAUUCAAAGGAUUACCCAUAUUGGAGCAACUUCAUUUGGAGGAAAAGCUGCUCCGUACCUCUUCAGAUAAUUGGUGUAUUGUUAAUGAUGGAACAAAUGCCCCUGCUAUAGUCAUGGGAAUCUCCGGGAAGCCUUCUAAACCUUUUGAUGACAGGAACAUGAUCUCGCAACACAGGUCCAAUCUCAAUAAGUU
rnacentral:misc_RNA from 1 species